rnacentral:lncRNA from 1 species
AGGGAGGAACAGUCAAGAAACAGUAGUACAGUCUUGGGGCAGGAUCCUGGUUCCCUCUCAAGGGAUGCACAUAAUAAUCUAGGCAUCUUAUCCACCUAAGAGAAAAGUUAUAUUCCUUAUGCUUCUAUUCGACAUGAAUACUUUAAAACUGAACAGCUUAGAGUCCUUCCUUGUCCUUCUCCCUGACUUAAUUGUAGACCCCUAGCCUGGGAACCUCCAUAUGCUGCUGGAGCAACCCUAGAAAAGACAAAACAAAAAACAAACAAACAAACAAACAAAACAACAACAAAAAACCCCCAUGACUCCAGACACUGCCAAUCAUGCCAAGGAACAACAUCCCCCAGGGUAAGAACCACAGCUCUGGAUGUAAGCACCCUCACAACUCACAAAUUUGAAACCCUUACUCGUAGUUGUUGCAGCAGAACAAAAGUCAAUUCUGCUCUUUCACCCAGGACUUAAGACUCUGAAGAAUUGCUCCUAGACUCUCCCUUUUUUUUGGGGGGGAGGAUUCUCUACCCCCCAAUACCCGCCCCCCCCCUUUUUAACAUUGCAAAUACCUGAGCAAUGAUUCUAGAGGCUUCUCUCCUAUAGACUCCAGGAAGCUGCCACUGUGGGCUGUCUAACUCUCUGGACUUGAAGUUCUUUUUUGUUUGCCUAUUUGUUAUUUCUCAUUCUCUCAUGCUCACAUAAUUGUAUCACAUAAUUCUAGUGCUCUAGUUUCUGUGGGAGAUAUUUCUAGAAAUGAUAUUGCCAGAGCAUACUUCAAAUGUUAGUAGAUGUGCGAGACAGCUUAUGGCAGUGCCAGAUCCUUAACCCACUGAAGGAGGCCAGGGAUUGAACCCGCAUCCUCACAGGUACUAGUCAGUUUCUUAACCUGCUGAGCCACAAGGAGAACUACCUUCCCCCCCAACCCCUUUUUUUAAAACAGACUCUAGCUGGACUUUGGUUCAAGCGAAUCUGUGUCUUUUCAUAAAAUACUUUAAAAUACUUCAUAGGAGUAUUUUUUCCUGACCCAUAUUCUUUCUUUCUCUUCCUUUUUCCUUCCUUCCUUCCUUCCUUCCUUCUUUCCUUCCUUCCUUCCUUCAUCUUUCUUUCUUUAUCUAUUUAUUUAUUUACUUUUGCUCUUUUAGGGCCACACCUAAGGCACAUGGAGGUUCCCAGGCUAGGGGUGGAAUCGGAGCUACAGCUGCCAGCCUACGCCACAGCUCUCUGCAACGCCAGAUCCUUAACCCACUGAGCGAGGCCAGGGAUCGAACCCAAAACCUCAUGGUUCCUAGUCAGAUUCAUUUCUGCUGUGCCAUGACGGGAACUCCCUUGACCCACAUUCUUGAUAUUCCUUCUGUACUACUUCUAUUAUUUAUUUUUACUUGGUUGUUAACUGUUUUUCCCCCUUGUUAAUUUGUAAGUUCCACCAUACUUUUCAAUCUUGAGCACUUAUAAUGAGACAUCUACUUCUUUUCUAUUCUUUGACAGUGUGACACCUAGUGUUGCUCCCACUAGAAGCCUUAGUUUCUCACUGCCCCUCCCCAAGAGGAGAAGAUCUUUAGGAUAAUUUAUCAUCCCUGCUCUUCAAACAUUUCUACUUCUUUCCUAUUCCGACCUCCUAGGAAUUGCUGACCAUUUUUACUGAUUUUAGUUCAUGACUAUUAUUAGAGUAUCUCUGGCCUGGUGUCUCUUCUAUUUCAACAUUGCCUAUUUUUGCUUGCUUUCUAUAAUUAAAAAUUGUGCAUUUAAAUACGGUUACAUUGUGAAGUUCAUGGCCCACUACCCUCUUCCUUAUAGGCCUUUAUCUUGAGUGUUCUGUUCACAUUCUUUAUUGUUGGGAACCAAUCCUUGAGUCUUUCCUUAAAUUAUGUAUUUUCUGAACCCCUGCAUGUCCACAAAUCUUUGUUCCGUAUGGGACAGUUUGGCUACAAGGCUUCUCUCUCUCUGGUCUUUGAAUGUUAUUCUGCCUUCUCAGGUUGCCGAUGAGAUGUUCACUGCCAAUCUCAUUAAUAGGCAACUUGUUUCUUCUUUCUGAAUGCUUAUAAGGUUCUCCCUUUGUCCUUGGAAUUUAGGAAUUUCUAGAAGGUACCUUGAGGUGUCUGCAUGCAUACAUAUUUCAUUUAAUUUUUAUUAUUUUUCAUUGAAGUAUAGUUGAUUUACAUUGUUUCAGGUGUAUAGCAGAGUGAUUGUUUUAUGUGUACUUACAUGUGUGUGUGUGUAUUCUUUUUCAGAUUCUCUUCUGUUAUAGGUUAUUACAGAAUAUUGAGUAAAGUUCCUUUGCUGUUCAGUAGAUCCUUGUUGGUUAUCUAUUUUAUAUAUAUUAGUGUGUAUAUAUUAAUCCCAAACUCCUAAUUUAUCCCUCCCCCCUACCUUUCCCCUUUGUUAACCAUAAGUUUUUUUUC